rnacentral:rRNA from 1 species
ACGGGAGGCAGCCUUGUCUCAUCUUGCACAAUGGGGGAGACCCUGAUGCAGCAACGCCGCGUGAAGGAUGAAGGCCCUUGGGUCGUAAACUUCUUUUCUAAGGGAAGAUAAUGACGGUACCUUAGGAACAAGUCCCGGCUAACUACGUGCCAGCAGCCGCGGUAAUACGUAGGGGGCGAGCGUUAUCCGGAAUUAUUGGGCGUAAAGAGUACGUAGGUGGUUUCCUAAGCAUGGGGUUUAAGGCACUGGCUUAACCAAUGUUCGCCCCAUGAACUGGGUUACUUGAGUGCUGGAGAGGAAAGCGGAAUUCCUAGUGUAGCGGUGAAAUGCGUAGAUAUUAGGAGGAACACCAGUGGCGAAGGCGGCUUUCUGGACAGUAACUGACACUGAGGUACGAAAAUGUGGGGAGCAAACAGGAUUAGAUACCCUGGUA